UAGGAUAGGUGGGAGGCUUUGAAGUGUGGACGCCAGUCUGCAUGGAGCCGACCUUGAAAUACCACCCUUUAAUGUUUGAUGUUCUAACGUUGACCCGUAAUCCGGGUUGCGGACAGUGUCUGGUGGGUAGUUUGACUGGGGCGGUCUCCUCCUAAAGAGUAACGGAGGAGCACGAAGGUUGGCUAAUCCUGGUCGGACAUCAGGAGGUUAGUGCAAUGGCAUAAGCCAGCUUGACUGCGAGCGUGACGGCGCGAGCAGGUGCGAAAGCAGGUCAUAGUGAUCCGGUGGUUCUGAAUGGAAGGGCCAUCGCUCAACGGAUAAAAGGUACUCCGGGGAUAACAGGCUGAUACCGCCCAAGAGUUCAUAUCGACGGCGGUGUUUGGCACCUCGAUGUCGGCUCAUCACAUCCUGGGGCUGAAGUAGGUCCCAAGGGUAUGGCUGUUCGCCAUUUAAAGUGGUACGCGAGCUGGGUUUAGAACGUCGUGAGACAGUUCGGUCCCUA
rnacentral:rRNA from 1 species